UGAUGAAGUUGGUUCAGCAUGCAGCAAACUCGACAGCAUGCAGGCCAUGAAGACCAAGACAUGCAGGAGCUGCUGAUGCAAGCUUAUUUUAUUUAUUUUGUAAUUUCUAGUCAAUGAAAUGUAAUCUUAGUUCAUUUCUAACUAAGUUAGGUUGUUGACUGAUGUAAUUAGCUUAUGUAUGAGCUGUAAACACGAUUUUGUAUAGGUUUACAAGCUAAAAUUUCAAGUUUCCAUGUAAUUAGUGGGAGUAGGUGAUGUUUAGGUAAUUAUUUGUUGUUUUUGACAAGCUUAGUGCUUGGUUUAUGUAUUGGCAUUAUGCCAUUAUUCAAUUUGAUGAAUGAAGUUCAGUUUGUUCAUCAAUUUUUCUCUUCAUUUCUCUUAGCUUUUCUUCCUUUCUCUUGCUCGAAUUCUCUUGUUUGCUCAGCAAGUCUCGAGACUUGCUCGACAAGUCUGUGCUGAAUCUGUUAGUUUCAGUUACAGCACCAACAAUUGGUAUCUAGAGCCUAUUUCUUAAGGGAUCUGUUAUACAAAUACAUGGCUUCAUCAAGCUUUUCACCAGCUGCACCUCAAGUCUUCAAUGGAGAAGGCUAUCACAUAUGGGUGGUCAAAAUGAAGACCUACCUGCAGGCAUACGAUCUGUGGGAGGUGGUCAACUCAGAUGUUGAACCAGAACCACUUAGAGGCAAUCCAACAGUUGCUCAGAUCAGGCAGCAUGCUGAUGAGAGGACCAAGAGGCACAAAGCCAUGUCUUGCAUCCAGAACUCAGUGUCUGAUGUGAUUUUCACAAGGAUUAUGGCCUGUGAAUCACCAAAACAGGCCUGGGACAAGUUGCAGGAAGAGUUUCAAGGGACAGAGAGGACAAGGCAGCAACAUUUGUUGAACUUGAGAAGAGAUUUCGAGAAUUUGAAGAUGAAGGAAGAAGAAACUGUCAAGCAAUAUUCUGACAGGAUUAUGGUUGUGGUUAACAGCAUCAGGCUCCUUGGAGAGCAAUUCAAUGAAGCUAGGAUAGCGGAGAAGGUUAUAACAACUCUGCCUGAGAGGUAUGAGGCAAAAAUCUCAUCUCUCGAGGACUCAAGGGAUCUGUCCACCAUCUCCCUGACAGAGUUGAUCAAUGCUCUAUAUGCUCAAGAGCAGAGGAGAGUAAGCAGACUGGAGGAGCACCAAGAAGGUGCCUUUCAGGCAAGAACAAAUACUGCCUACAAAGGCAAGAAGGCCUGGAGAGACAAACCAAAGAAUGAUGCUGCAAUGAGAGAAGGUCAGACUUGCAAGCACUACAGAAGGGUUGGUUAUCCAGAAGAAAAGUGCUGGUUUAAUCCAGAAGCUGUAUGUCAGUAUUGUAAGAAGAAGGGUCAUGUUGAGAGAGUCUGCAAGAGUAAGACCAAAUCGAGGCAGAAUCAGUUUCAACAGAUGAAAGCUGAGGCUCGAGUAGCUAAGGAGGACAGUGAUCAAGAGGAGCAAGUCUUUGCUGUGUCAUGCUCAGCUGCUCAGGAAAGGUCCUCAUUUGGUUGGCUCCUAGACAGUGGAUGCACCAACCACAUGACACCUGAUGCUGCAAUCUUCAAGUCUUUAGACAGAAGCUGCAGAACUAAAGUCAAGAUAGGAAAUGGUCAUUUUAUUCAAGCUGAAGGCAAGGGUGAUGUGCUAAUAUGCACCCUUACAGGUACCAAAGUGAUUUCAAAUGUGCUGUUGGUGCCUGAAAUUGACAGAAACCUGCUCAGCAUAGCUCAGUUGCUGGAAAAAGGUUAUUCAGUUGUGUUUAAAGACCACCAGUGCCAAAUCAGUGAUCCAAGUGGAUCCAAACUGAUGGCAGUCCCUAUGGCUGAUAAGAGCUUUGUGGUUGACUGGACAAAAAAGUCAGACAUUGCCUACACAGCCACUUCAGAUGAAUCCAAGCUGUGGCAUCAAAGACUGGGACAUGCCAACUUCAGAUCGAUGGCCCGAAUGGUCAGAGAGGACCUGGCUGAAAAUUUCAUCAACUCAGUGGACCAUGAUGAUGUAUGUAAAGUAUGUCAACUAGGAAAGCAGGCCAGACUCCCAUUUCCCUCGAAUCAAGCCUGGAGAGCCUCUGAAAAACUCCAACUGGUGCAUACUAAUGUGUGUGGCCCUAUGAAGACUGAGUCAUUAAGUGGAAACAUAUAUUUUAUACUGUUCAUUGAUGAUUUUUCAAGAUAUUGCUGGAUUUACUUCUUAAAACAAAAAUCUGAAGUGGCCUCAGUGUUUUGGAAGUUCAAGACUGCUUCUGAGACUAAAACAGGCUGCAAGCUGAAGACCAUAAGGUCUGAUAAUGGGACUGAGUACACCUCAGCUGAGUUCCAAGCCUUCUGUGAUAAAGCAGGCAUCAAACAUCAACUUACCAACACAUAUACACCUCAGCAGAAUGGUGUAAGUGAAAGGAAUAAUAGGAGUUUGAUGGAUAUGGCCAGGUGCUUGAUGAUUCAGAAGAAUCUGCCUAAAGCACUAUGGGCAGAAGCAGUUAACACUGCAACAUACAUUCAAAAUAGACUUCCAACCAAGGCUUUGGAUCAGAAGACUCCAUUCGAGGCCUGGUUUAGCUUCAAGCCAUCACUGGCUCAUCUGAAGGUCUUUGGAUGCAUCUGUUAUGCACAUGUACCUGCUGUUAAAAGGGACAAAUUGUCUGAAAGGGCUCAACCUGGUGUACUGGUGGGCUACAACACUGUUAAGAAGGGCUAUAAGAUCUUGGAUCCUUCAACAAACAAGGUGUCAAUUAGCAGGGAUGUGGUAUUUGAUGAAAUGUCAUGUUGGAACUGGGAAAGACAUGAACCUGAAGAAGUUUCUGAAGAACUAGCAACAGACCAAGCUGAGCCAGACCAAAAUGUUCCAGAAAUGGACAUUGAUGAUGAACCAGUUAGAGGAACAAGGCCAUUGACUGAGAUUUAUGAAAGGGCUCAUGUAGCCAUAGCUGAACCAAGCAACUUUGAAGAGGCUGAGGCUCAGCAAGGGUGGAAGCAGGCAAUGGCUGAGGAGAUCAGCAUGAUUGAGAAGAACCAGACCUGGGAAUUGGUUGAAAGGCCAGUCAAAAGGAAGGUGAUUGGGGUGAAAUGGGUGUACAAAGUCAAGCACAAUGCUGAUGGAACCUUGAACAAACUGAAAGCAAGGCUAGUUGUCAAGGGGUUCAGUCAGAGGUAUGGCCUGGACUACCUGGAGACCUUUGCACCAGUGGCCAGGCUCGACACCAUCAGACUGCUGAUUGCCUUAGCAGCACAGCUCGAAUGGAAAAUCCAUCAACUUGAUGUGAAAUCAGCCUUUCUGAAUGGUUUCUUAGAUGAAGACAUCUAUGUUGAACAACCACAAGGGUUUGAAAUAGCUGGCAGAGAGCAUAUGGUCUACAAACUGAAGAAGGCCCUAUAUGGAUUAAAACAGGCUCCAAGGGCUUGGUACAGCAGAAUCGAUGGCUACUUGACUGAUCUGGGAUUCGAUCGAAGCAAGAGUGAGCCAACACUGUAUGUCAAGAAACAAGGGACACAAACACAACUCAUUGUGUCCCUGUAUGUUGAUGACCUUCUGGUGACAGGAGGAGAUCGAGCAGUGCUGGCUGAUUUCAAGACCAAGAUGCAGGAAGUGUUUGAAAUGUCUGAUCUUGGGGAGAUGUCCUAUUUUCUUGGAAUGGAGGUGUCUCAAGUACAUAAUGAGAUAUUUCUAAGCCAGAGAAGCUUUGCCACAAAGAUUCUGACCAAGUUCUCCAUGCAAAACAGCAAGGCAACUAAAACACCUGUUGCUGUUGGAGAAAAACUAUCGAGCCAAGGUGAUUUUGAGAAAGUAUGUGCAACAACCUACAGGAGUCUAGUUGGUUGCUUGCUAUACUUGACUGCCACUAGACCAGACAUCAUGUAUGCUGUAGGAUUGCUCUCAAGGUUCUCACAUUGCUGCAAUGAGAAGCAUUUCCAAGCUGCAAAGAGAGUGCUGAGAUAUGUCAAAGGCACUUUAAACUAUGGUUUGAAGUACAGCAAAGAAAGAAAUCUGAAGCUGGUUGGCUACACUGAUAGUGACUGGGCUGGCUCGAUAGAUGACAUGAAAAGCACCUCAGGGUAUGCUUUUAACCUUGGUUCAGCCAUGUUUUGCUGGAGCUCGAAGAAGCAAAGUCUAGUGGCUCAAUCUACUGCUGAAGCAGAGUAUGUGGCAACAGCAAGUGCUGUCAACCAAGCCAUAUGGCUAAGGAAAAUAUUGGCUGACUUGAAUGUGCAUCAAGAGGAAGCUACUGAGAUCUUCUGUGACAACCAAUCUGCAGUAGCAAUUGCUAAAAAUCCAGUGUUCCAUGGAAGAACAAAGCAUUUUAGCAUCAAGUUACAUGUUGUUCGAGAAAUGGAGCAAGCUCAGGAAGUAAAGCUGAUCCACUGUAAUUCAGAGGAUCAACUUGCAGACAUUUUAACGAAAGCCCUUAGUGUCACAAGGUUCGAAUGUCUAAGGAAGAAGUUACGUGUUUGCUCCAUGCAAACCAAGGAGGAGUGAUGAAGUUGGUUCAGCAUGCGGCAAACUCGACAGCAUGCAGGCCAUGAAGACCAAGACAUGCAGGAGCUGCUGAUGCAAGCUUAUUUUAUUUAUUUUGUAAUUUCUAGUCAAUGAAAUGUAAUCUUAGUUCAUUUCUAACUAAGUUAGGUUGUUGACUGAUGUAAUUAGCUUAUGUAUGAGCUGUAAACACAACUUUGUAUAGGUUUACAAGCUAAAAUUUCAAGUUUCCAUGUAAUUAGUGGGAGUAGGUGAUGUUUAGGUAAUUAUUUGCUGUUUUUGACAAGCUUAGUGCUUGGUUUAUGUAUUGGCAUUAUGCCAUUAUUCAAUUUGAUGAAUGAAGUUCAGUUUGUUCAUC
rnacentral:lncRNA from 1 species